rnacentral:rRNA from 1 species
UUUAGUAUAAAUUUAUUGAAUUUAUUAAUUUUUAAAUUAAUUAUAUUAAAAAUAAUUUUAUCAAUUUUGUUUUUGUAUUUUAUAAAGAAAAAAUAAUUUAUAAUAAUAGUUUAUUAGUAUUGUAAAAUAAUAUUGAAAUAAUUUGAAAAAUUUUUAUUUGAAAAGAAAAUUUAUUUUAUUGUACCUUGUGUAUCAGGGUUUAUUAAUUAAAUAAUAAUUAAUUUAUUUUUUUCGAAGUUAAGAGAUCUAAUUAUUUAUAUAUUUUAUUGUAGUAUAAAUAUAAAUAAUAAAUAAUUAGAAAUGAAAUGUUAUUCGUUCUUAAAUAUAUCUAGUUUUUUAAGAAAUAAAUUUAAUUUAAAUAUAAUUUAUUUAUUUAAUUAAUUUGUUAAUUAAUUAUUUUAUUAUAUUAAUAUUUUAAGGGAUAAGCUUUAAAAUAUAAUUUUAUAAUUAAUAUUUUAUUUUAUUAAUUGUAGGCUUUAAAUUAGCUAUCAUUAAAAAAUAUGUUAUAAUUUAUUUUAUAUAUAAAAUAUUUAUUUUUAUUUUAAAUUUUUAUUAAAAUAUUUAAUUUAAUUGUAAAAUUGAAGUUAUAAUGAUAAAAUUAGUAUAAUAUAUACAUAUAAUUAAAGUAAUUUUUGUAUUGAAAGGUUUUUUUAAUUAAUUCGGCAAAUAUAAUUUUUGCCUGUUUAUCAAAAACAUGUCUUUUUGUUAUUUAUUUAAAGUCUAACCUGCCCACUGAAAAUUUUAAAGGGCUGCGGUAUUUUGACCGUGCAAAGGUAGCAUAAUCAUUAGUUUUUUAAUUGAAAGCUUGUAUGAAAGGUUGAACAAAAAAUUAGCUGUCUCAUGGAAAUUUAUGAUUGAAUUUUAUUUUUUUGUUAAAAAGCAAAAAUAUUUUUAAAGGACGAGAAGACCCUAUAGAGUUUUAUAAUUUUAUAAUUUAAUUUAUAUAGUAUAUUUUUGAUUUUAUUAAAAAUUUUAUUUAAUUGGGGUGAUAUUAAGAUUUAUUUAACUCUUAUUUAAUUUAUUGCCAUUAAUUUAUGAAUAAUUGAUCCAUUUUUAUUGAUUAUAAAUUUAAGUUACCUUAGGGAUAACAGCGUAAUUUUUUUUGAGAGUUCAUAUCGAUAAAAAAGAUUGCGACCUCGAUGUUGGAUUAAGAAUUAUUUUAGGUGUAGAAGUUUAAAUUUUAGGUCUGUUCGACCUUUAAAUUCUUACAUGAUCUGAGUUCAAACCGGUUUAAGCCAGGUUGGUUUCUAUCCUUAAAUAUUUAUUUAUAUUUUAGUACGAAAGGACCAAAUAUUGAAAAUAUUUAUUUUUAAAUUUAGAAUUUAAUUAAUUUAAUAUAA